rnacentral:misc_RNA from 1 species
GAUGAAGAACGUAGCGAAAUGCGAUAAGUAGUGUGAAUUGCAGAAUUCAGUGAAUCAUCGAAUCUUUGAACGCACAUUGCGCCCGCCAGCAUUCUGGCGGGCAUGCCUGUUCGAGCGUCAUUUCAACCCUCGACCUCCCCUUGGGGAGGUCGGCGUUGGGGACCGGCAGCACACCGCCGGCCCUGAAAUGGAGUGGCGGCCCGUCCGCGGCGACCUCUGCGCAGUAAUACAGCUCGCACCGGAACCCCGACGCGGCCACGCCGUAAAACACCCAACUUCUGAACGUUGACCUCGAAUCAGGUAGGACUACCCGCUGAACUUAAGCAUAUCAAUAAGCGGAGGA